rnacentral:rRNA from 2 species
CCUGGCGAUUAUGGCGGAGGUGAAACACCUGUUCCCAUCCCGAACACAGAAGUUAAGCCCUCCUGCGCUGAUGGUACUAUACUGGUAACGGUAUGGAAGAGUAGGACAUCGCCAGGG